AGUUUAGAGUUAAGGGGUGGGUUUAGGAUUUAGGGUUUAGGGUUUAGGGUUUAGGGUUUAGGGUUUGGAGUUUAGAGGUGGGGUUUAGGGUUUGGAGUUAAAGGGAGGGGUUUAGGAUUUAGGGUUUAGGAUUUAGGGUUUAGAGUUUAGGGUUUAGGGUUUAGGGUUUAGGUUUUAGGGUUUAGAGUUGGGGAGUGGGGUUUUGGGAUAAGAUUUCAAAUUUUGAAAAAAAAAAAAAAAAAAUUCAAAAGAUAAAAUGCUAUUUUGGUCAUUUUAGUUUUUGAGUGGUAUUUUUGUGACAUAAACUUAGAAAUGUGUUAUUUUGGAGAUUUGCCAUAUUUUCAAAAGAAUAUUAGUCAUUAAAAUCAUAAAUUAAUAUAAGAUAAACAUAAUUAUGAGAAAAGGUAACAUACAUUUAAACUAACCAUUUUUACCCUCACUUUUGAUUAAAGUAUAUAUGUAGACUUUUACCCUCACUUUUAAUGAAAGGUAAAAUACAUUUAUACCCCUAGGGAUAACUAAUCUAGACUUAGGGUUUAGGGUUGAGGAGUUUUUAGAAGGGAAAUUGCCAAAAAUACAAUUUUUAAAGUACAACUUUUCAUGUUUACACUAACCACUUUUACCCUCAUCUUUAAUGAAGGGUAAAAAAACAUUUAUAACGUUUUGAAUAACUUUGAAAAAAAAAACAUAUAGUUAACUAAUUUAAACUUAAAACAUCAACUCUAAACCCUAAAUCAUCAACUCUAAACCCUAAACCAUGAAACAUCAACUGUAAACCCUAAACCCUGAAACAUCAACUUUAAACCCUAAAUCCUAAAUCCUAAACCUUCAAAUCUAAACCCUAAACUUUCAAAUCUAAACCCUAAAUGUAAACCUUAAACCAUAAAUCUAACUUAAAACAUCAACUUUAAACCCUAAAUCAUCAACUCAAAACCCAAAACCCCGAGACAUCAACUUUAAACCCUAAACUUUAAACCUUCAAAUCUAAAACCUAAAACAAACUCUAAACGUAAACCCAAAACCCUAAACCCUAUAUUUUUCUGAAAUUCACACCCUAAACCCUAAACCUUCAAAUCUAAACCCUAAAACAUAAACUCUAGGGUUUUAGAGUUUAUGGUUUAGAGUUUAGCGCUUAGGAUUUAGGGUUUAGAGCUUAGGGUUUAGGGUUUAGAGUUGAUGUUUUAGGAUUUAGGGUUAAUUUUUUAGGGUUUAGGGUUUAGAGUUUACUUCUUAGGGCUUAGGGUUUAGUGUUGAUGGUUUAGGGUUUAGAGUUGAUGUUUAGGGUUUAGGGUUUAGAGUUGAUGUUUUAGGGUUUAGAGUUGAAGGUUUAGGGUUUAGGGUUUAGAGUUGAUGUUUCGGGUUUAGGGUUUAGAGUUGAUGUUUCAGGGUUUAGGGUUCGUAUUUAAAAAAAAAAAGGGUUUAGGAUUGAUGGUUUAGGGUUUAGGGUUUGUAUUUAAAAAAAAUAGGGUUUAGGAUUGAUGGUUUAGGUUUUAGAGUUGAGUUUUAGGGUUUAGGGUUUGAAUUUCGAGAUAGUAUAAUUUGAAAAAAAAAAAUAAAAAAAUUAUUUCUUACUUUUUAGAUUUUUAUUUAUUUAAUAUAUAAUGAACAAGGGCAUAAGAGUCUUUUGGCAAUUAAUGAAGAACUUAGUUUUGAAAAUGUCUCUUUAGUGGUGGUAAAAAUGAAAAGUGGUAGCAUGAAAGUAGUAAACAUGUAAUUUCCCUUUUAGAAUUUGAAAUUUAGGAUUCUAAUAAAUAUAGAAAUAAAAACUGAAAAAGUAUUUUAAAAAUUAAAAUAUAGGUUCAAACAUAAUUUUCGAUUUCAAAAAGAAAUUUUGAAAAAAAAAAAUUCAAAAAGAAAUUCAAAAAAUUAAUUUAUAAAAAAGUUCUAAUUUGAAAAAGUAUAAUUCGAAAACAUAAAAAGAAAUAUAUAUAUAUAUAUAUUUUUUUUUUUUAUUAUUCAUGUAUAUAAUUAUUUAUUAUAUAUAGAUAACAAGAGUAUAAGAGUCUUUUGCCUUUUAAUGUAAAAAAUAUUUUUAAAAAUGUCAAUUUUGUGGUGUUAAAGAUAAAUAAUGAAAGUGGUAAACAUGAAUUUUCUCCAUAAUUAUGAUAAUAUCAGUAGAUAUUGUUAAUAUCAAUUGUUAAUAUCCAUUUAUUAAUUAAAUGUUUUAAAUAUCAAGAUAAUUAUAGAGAAAUUGCCAAAUAUACCAUUUUUAAAGUACUUUUUUCCAUGUUUACACUAACCACUUUUAUCUUCAUCUUUAAUGAAGAGUAAAAUACAUUUAUAACAUUUUGAUUAACUUUGACAAAAAAAAACAUAUGAUUAACUAAUCCAAAACCUAAAACAUCAACUCUAAACCCUAAAUCAUCAACUCUAAACCCUAAACCCCGAAACAUCGACUCUAAACCCCAAAACAUCAACUCUAAACCUAAACCCUAAACCCUAAACCUUCAAAUCUAAACACUAAAACAUCAACUCUAACCCCUAAACGUAAACCCUAAACCCUAAAUCUGAAUUUAAAACAUCAACUUUAAACUCAAGAUCAUCAACUCUAAACCCUAAACGAUGAAACAUCAACACUAAACCCUAAACACUAAAACAUCAACUCUAACCCCUAAACGUAAACCCUAAACCCUAAAUCUGAAUUUAAAACAUCAACUUUAAACUCAAGAUCAUCAACUCUAAACCCUAAACGAUGAAACAUCAACACUAAACCCUAAACCCUGAAACAUCAACUCUAAACCCUAAACCCUAAACCUUCAAAUCUAAACCCUAAAACAUCAACUCUAAACCAUAAACUCUAUAUUUUUCAAAAAUUUGAACCCUAAACCCUAAAACCCUAAACCUUCAAAUCUAAACCCAUAACAUCAACUAUAAACCCUAAACGUAAACCCUAAACCCUAAACCUUCAAAUCUAAACCCUAAAACAUCAACUCUAGUUUUAUGGUUUAGGGUUUAGGGUUUAGGAUUUAAGGUUUAGGGUUUAGAGUUGAAGGUUUAUGGUUUAGAGUUGAUGUUUUAGGGUUUAACGUCAAUUUUUUAGGGUUUGGGGUUUAGAGAUUACUUUUAGGGUUUAGGGUUUAGUGUUGAUAGUUUAGGGUUUAGUAUUGAUGGUUUAGGGUUUAGAGUUGAAAUUUAGGGUUUAGGGUUUAGAGUUGAUGUUUUAGGGUUUAGAGUUGAAGGUUUAGGGUUUAUAGUUUAGAGUUGAUGUUUCGGGGUUUAGAGUUUAGAGUUCAUGUUUCGAGGUUUAGGGUUUGUAUUUAAAAAAAAAAUAAGGUUUAGGAUUGAUGGUUUAGGGUUCAGAGUUGAUGUUUCGGGGUUUAGGGUUUAGAAUUCAUGUUUCAGGGUUUAGAAUUCGAAAAAAUUAAAAAUAUUAUUUUUUAUUUUUUUGGAUUUUUAUUUAUUUAAAUAUUUAUUUAUUAUAUAUAUAAAGAACAAGGGCAUAAGAGUCUUUUGCCACUUAACGAAGAAUGUAUUUUUGAAAAUGUGCCUUUAGUGGUGGUAAAAAUGAAAAGAGGUAGCAUAAAAGUGGUAAACAUAUAAUUUUCCCAUAAUUAUAUAUAAAUAUAUAUUUUUUAAAAUAAUAUUACAUGUAUAUAUGUAGAAUAGGUUAAUGUUUAUUAAUUAUCUUAAAUAUCAUAUAAAUACAUAUAUUAAAAUAAAAUUUAAAAUAAUAAUAUUAAUUAAACUAAUGAUUUAUCCUAAAAUGAUGGAGAAUAUGACAACUAAACAAAUUCACUUCUCGAAUAAUAGUAUAGAUAAAACUACAAAUUUGAGAUAAAUAUUGAGAAAGAAUAUAUUCUAAUUAGAAAUGAUAACCACCAAAAUAGAGAAAAAGACAAAAAUAGCACUAAAUCAAGUUUAUGUUCCCAAACUAGCACUCAAGGUCAAAAGUCACAAAAAUAGCACUUAAUGUUUUACCAAAAGUCACAAACUUAGGGUUUAGAGUUAAAGGGUAGGGUUUAGGAUUUAGGGUUUAGGGUUUAGAGUUUAGAGUUUAGGGUUUAGGGUUUAGAUUUUAGGGUUUAGGAUUUAGAUUUUAGGGUUUAGGGUUUAGAAUUUAGGGUUUAGGGUUUAGAGUUUAGGGUUUAGGGUUUAGAGUUUAGGGUUUAAGGUUUAGAGUUUAGGGUUUAGGGUUUAGAGUUUAGGGUUUAGGGUUUAAAGUUGAGAAAUGAGGUUUUGGGGAUAAGAUUUCAAAUUUUGAAAAAUAAUAAAAAAUUAAAAUUUUCAAAGGAUAAACUUAGAAAUGUGCUAUUUUGGU
rnacentral:lncRNA from 1 species